UUGUCUCGUAGCUCAGCGGUAGAGCACCGUCUUGAUAAGGCGUAGGUCGUUGGUUCAAGUCCAACCGAGACAAUC
rnacentral:tRNA from 1 species